GCGUUCACUUUGGCAGCACAUAUAAUAAAAAUUGAAACACUACAGAGAAGUUUAGCAUAGGCCCUGUGCAAAGAUAACAUACAAAUUUGUGAAGUGUUCCAUAUUUUU